CUGACAAUCCUGGAAACUUCAUACUUCUGUUUAGCUACAGAACAAGUACAGGGCAUGGAGCAACAAGCUGCCCUACUGUUCCACCAAUGAGCAUCAACCCUGCCCUGCAGCGUCCAUCUCUAGAGGUGAGAAGGCUCAUUCAAACUCUAGGACCAUUCAUUUCUCAGAUCUC
ensembl:misc_RNA